rnacentral:lncRNA from 1 species
CUCCUCUACCUUGUGCCGCCCAACGGAGUCUGUCUGGCAGUUCUCCAAUUGCUUUGUCCUCAAAAUCUACCCGAUGGGUAAGUUCAAAGGUCUUUUCGAACGGGGUUGUUGUUAGCCGUGGGUAGUUUGAUGUACUGGUUUUGGGUGCUGGGUGGUGAUGGAAUCCUUCUUCUGCUCGCCGGGAUUUAAGGCUCCAUCCGAAUUAAGGAGAAGCCACAGUCUAAGAAACCAAGGUAUAAUGUAAUAAUGUACACAGAGUCAACACCUCUACCAAUAAGGAAUCAAGUAAAGUAAUCGACAUAGACAAGUCCAAAGCCUCCUUCUGUGAGUACACACGAUCAGAGAAUUCGCCGUUGAAUCCUAGAGAGUGACUGUCGGUAGCCCAUUUGUACUUGUGAUUGCUAUCAGUGGGGGUAAAAUU